rnacentral:snRNA from 1 species
ACACUUACCCGGCACGGAGACACCAUGAUCAUGACGCUGGCCUUUCAGGUGAGCCUCACCCACUGCACCCGGCUGUGCUGGCUCCUGCGAGUUCCCCAAGUGUGGGAAACUUGACCGCAUAAUUUAUGGUCGUGGGGGACUGAGCCCGUGCUCUCCCGUU